rnacentral:tRNA from 1 species
GCGCCUGUGGUGAAAUGGUAUCACAUCAGUUUCCCAUACUGGUUUUGAGAGUUCGAUUCUCUCCAGGCGCACCA